CCUCUUGCAAAACUACGAAUAAGAGGUCCCGCCUGCCCUGUGACUAUAAGUUUAACGGCCGCGGUAUUUUGACCGUGCGAAGGUAGCGCAAUCACUUGUCUUUUAAAUGGAGACCUGUAUGAAUGGCACGACGAGGGCUUGACUGUCUCCUUUUUCAGGUCAAUGAAGUUGAUCUCCCCGUGCAGAAGCGGGGAUACUUACAUAAGACGAGAAGACCCUAUGGAGCUUUAGACACCAGGACAGACCAUGUCAAACAACCCCGGACAACGGGCUAAACCAAAUGCACCCUGCCCUAAUGUCUUUGGUUGGGGCGACCGCGGGGAAAUACGAAACCCCCACGUGGAAUGGGGACACCCCCUCUACAACCAAGAGCUUCCGCUCUAAUUAACAGAAAUUCUGACCAAUAAGAUCCGCGAUGCCGAUCAACGGACCGAGUUACCCUAGGGAUAACAGCGCAAUCCCCUUUUAGAGCCCAUAUCGACAAGGGGGUUUACGACCUCGAUGUUGGAUCAGGACAUCCCAAUGGUGCAGCCGCUAUUAAGGGUUCGUUUGUUCAACGAUUAAAGUCCU
rnacentral:rRNA from 1 species